UACAGAGGUCUCAAGCGUUGUUCGGAUUCAUUGGGCGUAAAGGGUGUGUAGGUGGCGCGCUAAGUCGGGUGUGAAAUUUCGGAGCUUAACUCCGAAACUGCAUUCGAUACUGGCGUGCUUGAGGACUGGAGAGGAGACUGGAAUUCAUGGUGUAGCAGUGAAAUGCGUAGAGAUCAUGAGGAAUAUCGGAGGCGAAGGCGACCAACUGGUAGUGUAUUGACGCUGAGGUGCGAAAGCGUGGGGAGCAAACAGG
rnacentral:rRNA from 1 species